rnacentral:rRNA from 1 species
UACGUAGGAUGCAAGCGUUGUCCGGAAUUAUUGGGCGUAAAGAGCGCGCAGGCGGUAUGACAAGUCAGAUGUGAAAGAGGCCGGCUUAACCGGCAAGGGUCAUUUGAAACUGUCAGACUAGAGUGCAGCAGAGGAUAGUGGAAUUCCCGGUGUAGUGGUGAAAUGCGUAGAUAUCGGGAGGAACACUAGUGGCGAAGGCGACUAUCUGGGCUGCAACUGACGCUGAGGCGCGAAGGCUAGGGUAGCAAACAGG